AUUGAACGCUGGCGGCAUGCUUUACACAUGCAAGUCGAACGGUAACAGGCCUUCGGGUGCUGACGAGUGGCGAACGGGUGAGUAAUGCAUCGGAACGUGCCCAGAGGUGGGGGAUAACGCAGCGAAAGCUGUGCUAAUACCGCAUGUGAUCUGAGGAUGAAAGCGGGGGACCAGGCAGCAAUGUUUGGCCUCGCGCCUUUGGAGCGGCCGAUGUCAGAUUAGGUAGUUGGUGGGGUAAAGGCCUACCAAGCCGACGAUCUGUAGCUGGUCUGAGAGGACGACCAGCCACACUGGGACUGAGACACGGCCCAGACUCCUACGGGAGGCAGCAGUGGGGAAUUUUGGACAAUGGGCGCAAGCCUGAUCCAGCAAUGCCGCGUGCGGGAAGAAGGCCUUCGGGUUGUAAACCGCUUUUGUACGGAACGAAAGGGCUCUGGCUAAUACCUGGGGCUGAUGACGGUACCGUAAGAAUAAGCACCGGCUAACUACGUG
rnacentral:rRNA from 1 species